GACCCGCUGGACUGUGACGCAGAAGCAGCGAGGUUCUCAGAGCCGCUCAAGUCUGCCAGCUCUGUGUAAGUGAACGGAAAACCUUCGGUCACUGGUCGUAGGCUACUCAAGAGAAAUACACAGAAAAUAAAAGAGCAGAUAUAUUGGACUGCAGAUGAUCGCUAAAAUCCAAGAGAAUUUAUAUUGACAUUUCAGUAGGAUAAAUACAGCUGCGACGCUUACUGUGUAAGCAGUUAUUGACCGAAAACAAAUUUAGAGCUCCAACUUUCAACAAUGACGCGGAGUUUGUUUUUUGUUGUUGCAAAAAUAUUAAAAUUAUGUUUUCGCAAACAGAUAACUCUGGUUAGAUCAUAACGCAUUUUUAGCGCUAUAAAACAAAGUUUGGAAAAUGUCUUCAGAUGAAUCGAUUAUUUUACGUCAAGAAUUAACAAUCAUGUUUUCCUCAAAUACCUCCUGGACAAACCGCACUCAUCGGCUGCCGUUGCAUCCGAUAUGGUAUCCCGCCAUAGUCAUCGCCGCGGUUUAUGGCUUUAUGAUACUCCUCGGGGUCGUGGGCAACAUCACGCUAAUCAAGACGUUUUACGCCAUGAAGUCGAUGAGAAAUGCGCCCAACCUCUUCAUGUCCAGCCUGGCCCUGGGGGACCUGCUGCUUCUCCUCACCUGCGCUCCCGUCGAUGCCAGCCGCUAUCUGGCUGACGAGUGGCUUUUCGGCAGGGUGGGAUGCAAACUCAUACCCUUCAUCCAACUUACCUCUGUCGGGGUCUCUGUUUUCACGUUGACCGUCCUUUCUGCAGAUAGGUACAAGGCGAUCGUCAGACCAAUGGCUGUGCAACCCGCCAAUGCUAAAGCAAAAAUCUGCAUCAUAGCAGCAAUGAUCUGGAUAUUUUCCAUGGCCUUGGCCAUCCCUGAAGCCAUCUUCUCUGACCUCCACACUUUCAACAUCACCAGGACUAACGAGACAUUUGUGACUUGCGCCCCCUAUCCACACACAGGAGAUCUGCACCCCAAGAUCCACUCUAUGGCUUCUUUCCUCAUUUUCUAUGUUAUACCCCUGCUCAUUAUUUCAAUCUAUUAUUCUUUCAUUGCCAGAAGCCUCCUCUGGAGUGCAUCUAACAUGCCGGGAGAAGAAAAUGUGCCUGUUAGAAGACAGGUGGAGACCAGAAAGAGGCUGGCGAAGACGGUGUUGGUGUUUGUGGGCCUGUUUGCGAUUUGCUGGCUUCCCAGCCAUGCUGUGUAUCUGUACCGCUCAUACCACUACAGCGAGGUGGACACAUCUACGCUCCACUUCAUCUCCAGCAUCUGCGCCCGCCUCUUGGCCUUUGCCAACUCCUGCGUCAACCCCUUUGCCCUCUACCUGCUGAGCCACAGCUUCCAGAAGCAAUUCAACAAGCAGCUGUGCUGCUGCUGCCCCCUGGGCAUUGGCCGUCCUGUGUCAGGGUGACCCCUUCCCCAUGAUUUUCAUCAGGAGCACUAGCCAAUCACAGGGCAAAUUUGGCGUCAUCUACAGUAACCAGCUGUGAAACAAGGCAGCGUGCUUUUGUCGCAUAUCCCUCUGCCUUGUUCAAGAUGUGAAUUCCUAGGAACUUGAGUGAACUUAGACGCAGAGUGGGACUGCUGGGUGAAAAUGGUUUGUUGGAGGGGAUAACAGCUCUGCAAAACUGCGCAGUUUGACACAAGAAGUACAAAAACAAUAACUGAUGCCCCUCUAGGUCAGAUCACCCAGUCACAUGGCUUCUCCUACCACUACUAUGCUGCUGACAUCCAGAUCUACUUGACAUUCUCUUUUGAUGCCACUACUCUCUGACUCGAUCCCUGCAUGCCUGGGUGACGCGGCAGCCUGGAUGAGGGACCAUCACCUCCAGCUUAACCUUCCCUCCCAGCCCUACCAUCCACUAUGACAUCACUGUUCAGCUUGGAUCAUCCAACCUGUCUUCAUCAAGGUCUGCCAGGAACCUAGGAGUGAUGAUAGCUCCUGAUUGGCUCUCACAUUAAGUUCUAUUCUUUGGUGCUGGAUUACAGGUCCAUCAAUGAUCAGGCACUCAUCUCCAUCAAAAGGCUUCUCAUGACCUAUGUCCCAUCUCGCCCCCUUCAUUCAGCAAACCAGUGCGACUUGGAGAUCCUUCCACCACACAAGUUUCACUCCAGACUCUUCUCUUGUGUGGUGCCCCAGUGGUGGAAUGAGCUGCUGAACCACAUCCAGUCAUCAGAAUCCCUCUUCCCCUUCAAGAAACACCUCAAGACCUAUUUCUUCCAUGAAUUCCUCUAUACUAGGCUGAUGCCUCUGUAUGUUCCCUGAAUGUUCUUAUGUUGCACUUCUGGUCCUUGAAUAGCUUAUUAUGUUCUUGCUUUGUUAGAAGUUGUUGUGUGGUUCCAGCUCCAAUCCUGCUUACACCUGUACCUGGGUCUUCACUGGAAGCUCAGCCUGGCUGCACGAAUAUCUAGUUGACUCCUUGACAGCAUGUAUGUUUGCAGUGUUCUAAUUGCCGCACUUGUAUGUCACUUUGGACAAAAGUGUCUGCUAAAUGUGUAAAAUGUAACUUAACAGUACUUGGAUAAUAAGUGUAGCUGAAAGUUGUAUCUCAAGUGUAAGAAAAAAGUAGUAUAAAUAUAAUUAUAGAUUUUGUGCCUGACUCAGUUUUAAUGGAUUUUGGCUUCUAAAGAAUGCAAGCAGUGAUGCACAAAAGCUUUUUGGACAAUUGCAACUGUCAAAAAAAGACAUCUUGAGUAGUGCAGAACAACUGGGUGAAUGUUCUUGAAUCAUCAGUUCAAGUUUUAUUUGUUGUUAGCUGCUAUUAAAAAAAAGUGGUCUGAGUUUUGAUUGAGAGUUCUGCUGAAGAGAACACAUACCUCCUUGUCAACAUAACAGUGUUUUUCCCCGCAUUGGAAUGAAUACAAUACUCUGAAUGAAUACAAUACUCUGAAUGAAUACAAUACUCUGAAUGAAUACAAUACUCUGAAGAAAAGCCAGAUAUCUGUGUAUGUUUUGUUUUGCAAUCGGUAAGUGUCAAUAAAAUUAUUGUGUUUUAAGUGGGACUUUCUUUGAAUCAUAAUGAAAGUAAGUACUGCUUCGCAAUUUUUGUAAACC